UACAGAGGGUGCAAGCGUUAAUCGGAAUUACUGGGCGUAAAGGGUGCGUAGGUGGUUGAAUAAGUUAGGUGUGAAAGUCCUGGGCUUAACCUGGGGACUGCGCCUAAUACUGUUUAGCUAGAGUACUGUAGAGGAAGGUGGAAUUUCCAGUGUAGCGGUGAAAUGCGUAGAUAUGCGGAGGAACACCGAUGGCGAAGGCAAUCCCCUGGGCCUGCACUGACGCUCAUGCACGAAAGCGUGGGGAGCAAACAGG
rnacentral:rRNA from 1 species